rfam:Coccidioides immitis RMSCC 2394 supercont1.10 genomic scaffold, whole genome shotgun sequence.
GGCACUAUGGCAGAGUGGUUAUUGCGUGAGCCUUGAACCUCCCCAGACGGUGCAACCCCAGCUCAUCCCUUCGGGGUCAGCGGUUCGAAUCCGCUUGGUGUCG